rnacentral:pre_miRNA from 1 species
AGAGGAAUUGCUGGCUCAUAUGGCAACACUGUGAUUAACUUUUUAAGAACAGCCAAACUGUUCUCCAAAGUGGCUACACCAUUUUACAUUCCCGCCAGCACU